rnacentral:lncRNA from 1 species
CGCUCUCGUCGCGUACGCACGCUAUAUCCAUCGAUAUCCCAACGCAAUCGAGUCCCGAGCACAACACUACGCCCGAGGCUGGGUGAUUCGUAUGCGCAUGCGUCGCGCAACAGAUUGGCAGGGCGUCCGCGAGCGGCCGGCGGCAUCCAUUCGUGCGCCGUUAGCUCUCAACGUAACGCGUUCGCUCCGUUCAGCUAAAGUUACCGGCGAGUUUGCGCGCGGACUAAGAUCUUCGUACUUCUUCGUUUCUUUCUUCUUACUUCUUGUCGUGUAGUGUAUGUGUGUAAAUACCCUUAUAAACUAUGUUUAGCGUUUCGUGUAUGUAUAAUUAUCUUAGUGUAAAUAUAAUAGUGCGUUUGAACUAUGUAAACUUGUAAAUAUAUAUCACAAUGCCGUAUCCGUAAUGUAUACAUUGACCAUACUAGUGAUGUGACGAAUUGAAAAAAAAAUAAACAAUGUGGACUAAGUUCUUUUUAGUGACUAUAUGACGUUGUGUCGUCAAAGACAAUGGUGCGACAGAGACGCAAAGUGUUCCCUGCGGGAUAGUGUUGUGCGUGCGCCGGCAUAAUGUCUAUGCCUAUAAAAAGAUCGUUCAGCUCCGAGGGUGGGCCGUCUUCCAAAAGGGAUUGGAAGAUGCGGCUCAGCCUGAGGAGUCGAAGUGGACAUAGCGUCGAGGCGCUGCGCGGGCGCCGAUGCGCAUCCCUGCGUUCGGCGGCCACGGCGCGCGCCGCUGACGACUCGGGGCGGAGCACCCCUUCCGCCCCGGCCAGGGCGUCGCCCUCACCGGCGGACACUCCUGCGCCGAAGAAGUCAAAUUGGGAAGUGAUAGAACACUUCUCAUCAA